UACGUAGGAUCCGAGCGUUGUCCGGAUUUACUGGGUGUAAAGGGUGCGCAGGCGGAAUGGUAGUCAGAGGUGAAAUCUCGCCGCUCAACGGGCGAAACUGCCUUUGAUACUAUCAUUCUUGAAUCCGGUAGAGAUCUGUGGAAUUCCGAGUGUAGCAGUGAAAUGUGUAGAUAUUCGGAAGAACACCAGUGGCGAAGGCAGCAGAUUGGGCCGGUAUUGACGCUCAGGCACGAAAGCAUGGGGAUCAAACAGG
rnacentral:rRNA from 1 species